GGCGUGCGCGCGCACGGGUGAUUCUCAGCGCUCCCGCCCGCGGGGCUGAGGCGGCGCCGCCGCCGCCCGGGACUGCGACCCCGGGACGGGCACCCCGCAGCCCGUCUCUGACGAGACUGGAGGCAGAGGGCACGGCGGGCUGGGGUAGCCCUUCGUGCGCCUACCUCAGCGAGUCCACGUCUUGACACCAGGAUCUCUCCCAUCAAUCUGUGAUAAUUUGGAAACAGAGCCAUAAACAACAUGCCUAAAUACUCUUUUUUUUCCCCCCUGAAUAUUGAAAUCUUUCUUGUAACCCUGCUAUAGGUAAAAAUAGCAUGAAAUACAUUCAGUAGCAAAGCAGUGGAAAUGCAGAAGAAAGGAGAGCCCUGUAUUCCUGGAGGAAAAACCUGUAUGUGUUAAGUCAAGACCCUGAAAUAAAUUAUGUAGACUUCUGAGCUGGGAAAGACAGGCUCUUGGUUAAUACUGAGGGUCACAUCAGAAUGAAUGAAAGACACCGAAGAAUUUCAUUUCAAGCCUGCACUCCUGCCUUUUGUCCUUUCCCCAAGAGGAGAGACCACUGGAAGAAUCCUCCAGGGUUUGUUUGAGUUCUUCUAGUGUCUGCAGGAGGAUGUGAUAUCACCUGUUCUUGCCUGUGGGGAUUGGCGAAAGGUACUUGCUUGACAGUUGUGUCCUGAUACUUCAGAAAGCAACAUGGGAAGAAGCAGACAUUAAGCUUGUUCUGUAUGUAACUAUUCCUGGGGAAGAUAGAGCAUCUCAACACAUUACUUUUGGCCUUUACAUGAAAAGACCCCACUUCACCAUGCAUCUCUGGCUGCUCUUGCUCACCAAGAUGUCUCAGAUUUUUAGAAUCAUAGAUCCAAAAUAAUAGAGUCUAAUUCUCAAGAAUUUCACUAAACAGGAAUAUGAAUUUUAACUACUGUGAUACAUGUUAACAAUUUCCUGUUAGAGAAAGAAAUCCUGAAACUCUUGAAAAUCAAAUCGAGAAGCCCAUUCAGGAAGAGAUUUUACAUUACAAGAAGUACUGUUGUCUUCACUGAGCAAGGUGCUAAUCACCAACGAUCAUGGGACAUGGCCCUCCUGUAUUCAAUACAUUAAUAACAACUGUUGAGGAAUUUAUUAGUGUUAUAUAAAACACUUUAAAGCAAAGAGGAGGGUGGAAUGUGUAAUUCUCUGAAAGUCAGAAGCCAGGUCUAGAAUAAACGGCUCCGAAAGCCAUUGUCUUCCACAUUCCUGGCUUCACGGAAAAAAGAAAAAAAAAAGUUAUCAAGGGAUGCCCAGGAAACCUUUUAAUUUUUGGUGCCAAGCUACUUCAUUAUCUCUGAAUUUUGUUAGCUGUAGUAGAAACUACUGUGGAAAACAGAUCCAGAAAAGAUGGCAGACAUUCUGCAAGGCAAAGUCCUUAAAGCUUUUCAACUUUUUCAAGUUAUGUUCAUCCUUUAGUAUCUGCCUAAAAGAUUAUGGCCUUUAUUUUCUAAAACUGACUCCAACAGAGGAAUCACUGUCCGUGUCCUUAGGAUAAAACUGUGUAUGCCUACCUACACCUGCAUACAUUUGGAAAUCUAACUUUCUGACUGAAUGACAAACUAGAUUGUCAGGAAAAUAAAGGUACAAAUAAUAGUGCUUUUAAUUUUGUCCUCAUACUUUCAGUCGAAUGUAAAACAGCGCUGCUGCAAUUGGCGCUGCCCAGUCUAAGCUUGGACCCAUCGCUGCUGCUGAUGGACUCACCUGGUCCAAGUCAUUC